GAAAAAGAGAGGGAAAAAGACGUUGAUGAGAGGAUGGACAUUUUUACCUUAGAACGGUUGGUAAAGAAAUUAUAAAAGAAGACGACAGAACUAGAACAAAACCCAUACCUACUAAGAUAUGAAUGGAAAUACAUGUUUUAGUUUAUAAAAGAGUUGUUAUAAUUUUGUUAAAACUUAGUAAAGACUGAAGCUACCGUCUCGUCGUGGAGGUAUUUGCCAGCAUUGAGGUUAGCCUAGCAUCGUGUGACACCGGGAGAUAAUUGCUUGAGAAGCUUAACGAGUUCGUGUUCCCAUGGGAUAUCGGUUACGGCUAAGGAGUACUGUCUGCAUGGGUAGCUGUGCUUGCCUUGGACUUUGUGAGGACACCUGCAUGGAACUGCCAUACUUCGCUGAGGGAAUAUCUACCAAGCAGCAACUGAGACUUUUGCUCUACUUCACUGUUGCAGUCACUUUGAGCUGGUGACGGAAGAGCUGGAACUUCUUCGUCCACGGGUAAGUCCACUGGUAAGUUCAUUGUCUGUUGUCUGAAAGAUGCUUUGUUGCGAAAUAGGAAGCCUAUUCUAGAUUUAAUUUUGUAUUGGAGAUUUAUAUACACUGCUCAAAAAAAUAAAGGGAACACUAAAAUAACACAUCCUAGAUCUGAAUGAAUGAAAUAAUCUUAUUAAAUACUUUUUUCUUUACAUAGUUGAAUGUGCUGACAACAAAAUCACACAAAAAGAAUCAAUGGAAAUCCAAUUUAUCAACCCAUGGAGGUCUGGAUUUGGAGUCACACUCAAAAUUAAAGUGGAAAACCACACUACAGGCUGAUCCAACUUUGAUGUAAUGUCCUUAAAACAAGUCAAAAUAAGGCUCAGUAGUGUGUGGCCUCCACGUGCCUGUAUGACCUCCCUACAACGCCUGGGCAUGCUCCUGAUGAGGUGGCGGAUGGUCUCCUGAGGGAUCUCCUCCCAGACCUGGACUAAAGCAUCUGCCAACUCCUGGACAGUCUGUGGUGCAACGUGGCGUUGGUGGAUGGAGCGAGACAUGAUGUGCUCAAUUGGAUUCGGGUCUGGGGAACGGGCGGGCCAGUCCAUAGCAUCAAUGCCUUCCUCUUGCAGGAACUGCUCACACACUCCAGCCACAUGAGGUCUAGCAUUGUCAUGCAUUAGGAGGAACCCAGGGCCAACCGCACCAGCAUAUGGUCUCACAAGGGGUCUGAGGAUCUCAUCUCGGUACCUAAUGGCAGUCAGGCUACCUCUGGCGAGCACAUGGAGGGCUGUGCGGCCCCCCAAAGAAAUGCCACCCCACACCAUGACUGACCCACCGCCAAACCGGUCAUGCUGGAGGAUGUUGCAGGCAGCAGAACGUUCUCCACGGCGUCUCCAGACUCUGCCACAUCUGUAGCAUGUGCUCAGUGUGAACCUGCUUUCAUCUGUGAAGAGCACAGGGCGACAGUGGCGAAUUUGCCAAUCUUGGUGUUCUCUGGCAAAUGCCAAACGUCCUGCACGGUGUUGGGCUGGAAGCACAACCCCCACCUGUGGACGUCGGGCCCUCAUACCACCC
rnacentral:lncRNA from 1 species